GUGAAGCAUGCAUUCUUUUGUAGUCAGUACUGAAGACAUACCAUGACACCAUGGUUGGAGUAACAGAAUAUAUAGUAGCAACAUAUAUUAUUACAUCAAUAAGGGAAUCAUCAAUUCUUAGCAUGAGAGAGCAUUUGUUCAGAAAUUCUCGGCAAUUGAAAUAUACUAUCAAUGUUGCGUUCAGAACUGUCUACCUACAUCUCCAUGGCUGGGGCAGAAGGAGCCAUAGUUUGCUAAUACUUGGGUAUCCAACACACUGCUGCAUCGUCUUCACAUGGA